rnacentral:misc_RNA from 1 species
GAUGAAGAACGCAGCGAAAUGCGAUACGUAAUGUGAAUUGCAGAAUUCAGUGAAUCAUCGAGUCUUUGAACGCACAUUGCGCCCCCUGGUAUUCCGGGGGGCAUGCCUGUCCGAGCGUCAUUGCUGCCCUCAACCACGGCUUGUGUGUUGGGCCUCCGUCCUCCUCCCGGGGGACGGGCCCGAAAGGCAGCGGCGGCACCGCGUCCGGUCCUCGAGCGUAUGGGGCUUCGUCACCCGCUCUUGUAGGCCCGGCCGGCGCUUGCCGACACAUCAAUCUUUUUUCCAGGUUGACCUCGGAUCAGGUAGGGAUACCCGCUGAACUUAAGCAUAUCAAUAAGCGGAGGA